ACUCCUACGGGAGGCAGCAGUGGGGAAUUUUGGACAAUGGGCGAAAGCCUGAUCCAGCCAUGCCGCGUGCAGGAUGAAGGCCUUCGGGUUGUAAACUGCUUUUGUACGGAACGAAACGGCCUUUUCUAAUAAAGAGGGCUAAUGACGGUACCGUAAGAAUAAGCACCGGCUAACUACGUGCCAGCAGCCGCGGUAAUACGUAGGGUGCAAGCGUUAAUCGGAAUUACUGGGCGUAAAGCGUGCGCAGGCGGUUAUGUAAGACAGUUGUGAAAUCCCCGGGCUCAACCUGGGAACUGCAUCUGUGACUGCAUAGCUAGAGUACGGUAGAGGGGGAUGGAAUUCCGCGUGUAGCAGUGAAAUGCGUAGAUAUGCGGAGGAACACCGAUGGCGAAGGCAAUCCCCUGGACCUGUACUGACGCUCAUGCACGAAAGCGUGGGGAGCAAACAGGAUUAGAUACCCUUGUAGUCCCAUG
rnacentral:rRNA from 1 species